rnacentral:rRNA from 1 species
UACGAAGGGGGCUAGCGUUGUUCGGAAUUACUGGGCGUAAAGGGCGCGUAGGCGGUACUUCAAGUCAGGCGUGAAAGCCCCGGGCUCAACCUGGGAACCGCGCUUGAGACUGGAGAACUAGAGUUCGGGAGAGGAUGGUGGAAUUCCCAGUGUAGAGGUGAAAUUCGUAGAUAUUGGGAAGAACACCGAUGGCGAAGGCGGCUAACUGGUCCAGUACUGACGCUGAGGUGCGAAAGCGUGGGGAGCAAACAGG